GGGCGUAAGAGCUCGUAGGCGGUUUGUCGCGUCUGCUGUGAAAGACCGGGGCUCAACUCCGGUUCUGCAGUGGGUACGGGCAGACUAGAGUGAUGUAGGGGAGACUGGAAUUCCUGGUGUAGCGGUGAAAUGCGCAGAUAUCAGGAGGAACACCGAUGGCGAAGGCAGGUCUCUGGGCAUUAACUGACGCUGAGGAGCGAAAGCAUGGGGAGCGAACAGGAUUAGAUACCCUGGUAGUCCAUGCCGUAAACGUUGGGCACUAGGUGUGGGGGACAUUCCACGUUUUCCGCGCCGUAGCUAACGCAUUAAGUGCCCCGCCUGGGGAGUACGGCCGCAAGGCUAAAACUCAAAGGAAUUGACGGGGGCCCGCACAAGCGGCGGAGCAUGCGGAUUAAUUCGAUGCAACGCGAAGAACCUUACCAAGGCUUGACAUGAACCGGUAAUACCUGGAAACAGGUGCCCCGCUUGCGGUCGGUUUACAGGUGGUGCAUGGUUGUCGUCAGCUCGUGUCGUGAGAUGUUGGGUUAAGUCCCGCAACGAGCGCAACCCUCGUUCUAUGUUGCCAGCGCGUUAU
rnacentral:rRNA from 1 species